rnacentral:rRNA from 1 species
AUACGGGGGGAGCAAGCGUUGUCCGGAAUCACUGGGCGUAAAGGGCGUGUAGGCGGGCUGAUAAGUCAGAUGUGAAAGCCCACGGCUUAACCGUGGAAUUGCAUUUGAUACUGUCAGUCUUGAGUGCGAGAGAGGGUAGUGGAAUUCCCGGUGUAGCGGUGAAAUGCGUUGAUAUCAGGAAGAACACCAGUAGCGAAGGCGGCUACCUGGCUCGCAACUGACGCUAAGGCGCGAAAGCGUGGGGAGCAAACAGGAUUAGAAACCCGAGUAGUCC